rfam:Loxodonta africana unplaced genomic scaffold scaffold_5, whole genome shotgun sequence.
AAGACUAUACUUUCAGAGAUUACUGCUGUUGUAUGUUACUAAAGAAAUGUUUCUGAACAUACAGGGCAUUGGAAACCCAGAUGAUGAGCUGUAGUGCUCUCUCCCGAGCCAGAGGCUGGCUUGUGGUAUUGCCUGGCAACAACUACCACUUCUCAAUGACUGGGAGAGAGAACAGGCUGAGUGGU